rnacentral:rRNA from 1 species
UACGGGGGGGGCAAGCGUUGUUCGGAAUUACUGGGCGUAAAGGGCGCGUAGGCGGCCUUCUAAGUCGGACGUGAAAUCCCUCGGCUCAACCGAGGAACUGCGUCUGAUACUGGAAGGCUUGAAUCCGGGAGAGGGAUGUGGAAUUCCAGGUGUAGCGGUGAAAUGCGCAGAUAUCAGGAAGAACACCCGUGGCGAAGGCGGUUCUCUGGGACGGUACUGACGCUGAGACGCGAAAGCGUGGGGAGCGAACAGG